rnacentral:rRNA from 1 species
AGCGAACGCUGGCGGCAGGCCUAACACAUGCAAGUCGAACGAACUCUUCGGAGUUAGUGGCGGACGGGUGAGUAACACGUGGGAACGUGCCUUUAGGUUCGGAAUAACUCAGGGAAACUUGUGCUAAUACCGAAUGUGCCCCCCGAUUCAUUUUGGGGUGGGAAAGAUUUAUCGCCUUUAGAGCGGCCCGCGUCUGAUUAGCUAGUUGGUGAGGUAAAGGCUCACCAAGGCGACGAUCAGUAGCUGGUCUGAGAGGAUGAUCAGCCACAUUGGGACUGAGACACGGCCCAAACUCCUACGGGAGGCAGCAGUGGGGAAUCUUGCGCAAUGGGCGAAAGCCUGUCGCAGCCAUGUCGCGUGAAUGAUGAAGGCCUUAGGAUUGUAAAAU